rfam:Hydrogenovibrio marinus strain MH-110 scaffold00001, whole genome shotgun sequence.
UUUUGUUUCUGUCAUCGGUUAUGGAAACAAACUCUACGAUAAACCGAUUAUCAAAGGAUAAAAAUAUGUUAACAGCUCAAGAUAAAGCUGCUAUCGUUGCUGAAUAUGCGACUGGUGCA